AAAUGCUGCAAUUCCUCAUCUGCUUCUCACAAAAUUUCUGAGCCUCGACUUAGCAAAAAUAGUUAAUUUCUUUUGUUUAGCAAUUAGGCUCGUUUUACUAACGCGAUAGCAAAAAGAACACUUUGCUUCAUUUGAGUAAAAACUUAGUUUGUUUGGCCGCUUAAUUUUUUGGCAGAACCGGCGCAAAGAAGAAAAAAAUCAGUGUGAAUGAAAUUCGAUUUUGGAUUUUGGCUUUUGGUGAAAAAGUGGACGACGAAAUAUUUACCGAGUCGCAACUGGAAGUAAACAGGUUGCCGCCGCCAGGGAAGAAAAACCAUCAAUGCCAGAAAAUGUACGGGUAGGUUUUCAAAUCUUGGCAGAACGGAGCUCUAGCUGGUUUCUGUUGGCCUACAAUGAAAACGUCCGGUAAUCAUCGGCAGACAUUCACAUCCGGAGUUAUCUAGUGUUAUAUAUCUGACACUAUUCCUGUGUUUUCAGAACAAAAAUAAUAAAUUUUGUACACUCAGACAAAUUCUUAUUAUGAUUCUCAUAAGAUGCAUCUUAUGAACCGCUUUUCAGAGUGUAAAAUUGAUUUUCAUAAGAGUCUUAUGAUAUUCUUCCAAUUUUCAAAGUAAGUUCCUAUGAAAAAUAGAAGAAGCGGCAUUUUGAAAAAAUAAUGAACACAUUCAUUCCAUCAGUCAUUAUUUUUCAUCGCACACGAGGCGUGAAACCAUUAUAGUUUCCCUAAAAGAUAAGUGAUUAUCUCAUUCUAAAUGCAUAUUGACCGGGAAAAAGUAAAAACUCAAAGGGUCCGAUGCGACAGAAUAAAUGUGUUGGAACCAGGUGUUUGUGUGCUGCUGUUAGUGCUAAUGAUGUAACAAACUAGAUAGAAACAAGCUAGGAAAUAAAUAAAACGAUUUUAAUAUCAAUUAUCUUGAGUUAUUCUCAUCAAACAUGACAUUUUCUGUUUCCAUAAGACCCUCUUAUGAAAAGCAAAAACCUCUCAACGAAGUAGGCGUUCAUUUGAAGAAUUCAUUCGCGUCAUAAGACAAUCUUAUAAAUUUCAAUGAUUUUUCUUAUGGCGCCAGUUUAUAAGAGAAUCUUAUGGCAAACUUAAUAGUAUUUUUCUGAGUGUAGAUUUAAAUUCAGAUGUAAACUAAUCAAGUUGAAGCUCUAUACCUAAUUCAGUUGACUACAUCGAGUUGAAUUCGCUGCGAGAUUAUACGGCAGAUCUCUACCAGGUUUAGGAAUAGCUAUGGUUCUAGUUUCUUUGAGUUGGUUUGAGAGGUUACCGUGCCUCCACAUCUGAUUAAGGUCGUAAAUUACAACAUCAACAACCUCAGGUUUGACUUGCAGAUGACGGCGUAGUAUCUGUCACAAGAUCUACUGAGUCUCAUCUGCACAGACCUUUACAAGAUACUUCAGACAGAUUGUCUUCCUGGGCUUUGGGGCUCGGGAUUGAGUUUUCCCCUCAGAAAACGGAGAUGGUUGUUUUCUCUUAGAAACAUAGACCUCAACCUCAACCUAAGCUUCAUCUCCUAGGCAGAACGAUCACUCAAUUGAGAUGUUUCAAGUAUCUUGGGGUUUGGUUUGAUUCCAAGUGUCCCAUAUUAAGUACACAGCAAAAAAAUCUGAAUCCUUAACAACACUGAAAUUGAAAAACCUUUAAUAUUACAUGACGUCGAACGCUAUUUGUUGAUGUAAAUUUACAGAUUGAAAAAAGUUGAAUCCAUAAUAGCACUGAAUUCGAAGGACAUGAAUAUUACAUGACACGGAAUGCGAUUAUUUGAUGUAAAUUUCCAUCACAUAUGAUGUAAAUAAAAAGAAGCAUCACAAAUGACGGAAUUUUCAGUGCGAAUUAAAUAUUACACGUCUUAAAUAUUUACAUGUCUUCCAAAUUUUACACGUCUGUUGAAAUUCAUAGACGUGUAAUAUUCAACUCGCUCUGAAAAUUCCAUCAUAUGUGUUGCUUCUUUUUCGUUACAUCAUAUGUGAUGUAAUUUUACAAAUGUUUUUGGUCAUACAGAAUUCUUAACAACACUGAAUAAGAAAUUUCUUAAAAUUACACGUCAUGGAAUGUGAUGACGACAUUGAAUUUGUGUUUAAUCAAUAUGACAAACACUGAACAUGAUAAUGUCAUGUAAAAUUAUGAACUGUCAAGAACAGGACCAUAGACAAAUGUAAACAAAGUGUCAAGUCAAGUCGUGCACCAAAGUUUAAGCAGUUUUCCCGCGAGUGAGGUUCCCGGAGAUCUUCGUGAAGCAGGGAUGCGGUUCCGGAAGCGGCUCCACGUAAAUCAACUUAGGAUCCGGGGAAGAAAGUAAAAGGGUGAAGUGAAUCCUAAUAAAAAAAAAUGUUUGCUAAAAAAUGUU